rnacentral:rRNA from 1 species
UACGUAGGGUGCAAGCGUUGUCCGGAAUUAUUGGGCGUAAAGAGCUCGUAGGCGGUCUGUCGCGUCUGCUGUGAAAACUCGGGGCUUAACCCCGGGCCUGCAGUGGGUACGGGCUGACUAGAGUGCGGUAGGGGAGACUGGAAUUCCUGGUGUAGCGGUGAAAUGCGCAGAUAUCAGGAGGAACACCGGUGGCGAAGGCGGGUCUCUGGGCCGUAACUGACGCUGAGGAGCGAAAGCGUGGGGAGCGAACAGG